AUCGCUUCUCGGCCUUUGGCUAAGAUCAACUGUAAUAUCUGUUCUUAUCUGAUACAUCCCUUAUGUGGGGACCAUAUAUUAAGAAUGGACUACUUGACAUGAAGCAGGGGUGGAAUGGUUGCAUAGCAUACAGCAUCAGAAACCUGGGUUGACUUCCCACUGCUGUCUGCAAGGAGUUUGCACGCU